AGAUAAUUUGUAUUGUUCUCUCUGAUUGAUAGUAGGCCAACUGUGCUGAUGUUAUUCUUGUUACAGCCUAGAAGAGUGGCUGAGAAUCUUCCAGGAUUUUUACAGCUUGAAUCUAAACCUUAGCCAACUCCAUAGAACACAGGCAGAGUAGUGAUAUCGCAGUCAGUGAGCAUUGCCGGAGAACUUCAACUUCCUGGAUGUGGUGAAGAAAAAGCAUGUCUCCAGAUAUUUUCACCCUGAGAAGGUGACUCGUGGUCCUACAGCAGCAGAAGGGGCAAGGAAUGCCCCAGCAUUUCCCUGGAGAAGCGGGUUGGACCCACUGAGCAAGUCCCGCUGUAGGGUAUGUUGGGAUGCUGCCUGGAAAUGUGAACCAUGAAAAAGCUGUCCUUGGUGGCCAAGUCGUGUCCUGCAUACAAACAGUGGCACUCAGACCCUCUGUUUGGUGCUAAUUUGCAUUACAGAGGAAGCUGCGUCAUUCAGGGUGGAAAGAAAAAGCAAAUCAGCUCUUUUUAAUGCUGGUGAACCACCAACGAGCUGCCCACCUUUUAUUUACUGUAAGGCUGGAGUUCUAUGUGGCAGCACAAUUGUGUAUCUCUGCACAAUUACAGCACUGCCUCUCCUCACUGCAGACAAAGAAGGGAAGGCAUUCACUUGCUCCUGCCUGAAAGCUGCCUUCAGCUAUUCGUGAAACCAUAGAUACAUCUGCUUGGACCGUCCAAUCCCCGGUGCUUCCCCCGGAGGGGGAAUAUCCAGACAUUGUCAUUUCAGCACAAGAAGCUGGAUGCAUUUAUUAAUCAACCUUUUUGCUGAGUGGAAGUCUGGCUGCUCUCUCCUACCAUAGUCUAAAUCCCUCAGUCUGCUUCUAUUACAAGACUUACACAAAAGAACAUUUUCUUCCACUCUUUCUUACAGAAAUGGGAAGACCUGAAUGCUUUCCUUUUUCUCUUCCCUGGGUCUUCUUUUGACUGACUGGGAUUUUUCACGGCUGUAUCAGAAAGUUGGACAUCCCCCUUUGUUUCGGAAGCAUUUGGUGAUGGAUCACAUUUUAAUUGGCGUUGAGGUUUACAGAAAAAGGGAGCACCACAGGAAGUUAUUAGAAUAACAACACUACGCAUCUGCACAGGAAUUAAAACUGCAAAUGUAGGGGGCAUAUUAAUUGCUACCAAAUGCUUUGUUUUUCUCCUCCUCGAAAAGCCCAGCUCAACAAAAGCCUUAUUAUUAUUAUUAUUAUUAGUGUGUAUUUUUCCUGUCUUUCUGUCCCAGUAAAAUGUAAGUGAUUAGAUUUGUGGGAUUUUAGCCUCAUGUAUAAGAUUUCCUAUAUAGCAUGGUUCAGAACAUUUACAAAGGAGAUGAACACAUUUGUUCUGACAAGGAGGAUACUGAUGGCUGCAGACAGAUACAGCUCAUCCAACACUGUUGUUCCCACAGUGAGAGUCUGAGCAUGGCCUGUGCUAGUUUGUGCCAAAGAUGGUCAAAAUGUUUUGCCUGUGCUCUUUGAUUUUUCCCCAUGAAAUCACUGAUAUGUUGUCACAGAGCCAUAAUUCAAGUUGCUGUUGAAAUGAGAAGUAAUACAGAGAUUGUUAGGAGUUUAAGUUGUUAUUCCCUACACGACAAUUUUUUGUUUUUAAAUAAGGGGUAGGAAACAAAGCAAAUAUUGCCCAUAGAUCUCCAUAAACAAUUUCAGCUGAUUGAAACACUGUUUUUUUUUUUUUUUUUUUUUUUCCUGUUCAAGAAAGGAGAAUGUUGGAAAGAUUUUGCACAGCUAACUGCACAGAUUUCCUUCUUUUUAUUUUUUAAGUCAUUCUAACACAUGACUCUUUUCCACAUUGAUCAUACUUUGUAAAUUCCCCCUAAUGCUAUUUUCUAACCACAGUGCUCCUUCACCAAUAACUGUAAAAGGACAUCCCUAGAACAAUGGAUAGCUUUUCUAGCACCUAUCCUAAUACCUAUUCUAAUAGGAAAAAAACAAGCAUUAAAGAAGUGUUAGGUUUGUGGGUAAUGUCU
rnacentral:lncRNA from 1 species